GGGGUAAAAUUAAUGAUUUAAUAAUUAAUAAAAGAAAUUUUAAUAUUAAAAUAUAUUUAAUGGGGGUUAAAGUAUUUUUAAUUGAAAAAAUUUGAAAUUUUAUAGUUUAUUAGUAUUGUGAAAGAAUUUUGAAAUAAAAUUUGAAAAUAAAAUAAUUUAAAAGUAAAUUUAAUUUAUUGUAUCUUGUGUAUCAGAGUUUAUUAAAAAAUUUUUAUUAUUUUAAAUUUCUCGAAUUUAAAAGGGUUAAUUAAUUAAUAAAUUUAUUGUUUUAUAAAUAUUUUAAAUAAUUAAUUAGAAAUGAAAUGUUAUUCGUUUUUAAAUAUAUCUAGUUAUUUUAGAAAAAAAUUUAAUUUUUAAUUAAAUUUUAAAAUUAAUUUAUUGUUUAAUUAAUUUUAAAAUUUAAUUUAAUAUUUUAAGGGAUAAGCUUUAAUUUAAAAUUUUAUAAUUAAAAAUAAAUUAUUUGAAAAUUUUAUAAUUUAUAUUGUUAAUAAAUUUUAAUUUAUUAUAAAUAAUUUCAUAAAUAAUAAAAUUUAAUUAAAAAUUUAAAUUUUUAUAAAAAAAUUUUUUAUAAUAAAAAAAAAUUAUUAAUAAUGAUAAAAUUAGUAUAUAAAUAUUUAAUUUAUUUAAUAUAUUAAUUUUUGGGAAUUAUUUUAAAGGAAUUCGACAAAUAUAUAUAUUCACCUGUUUAUCAAAAACAUGUCUUUUUGAUUAAUAAUUAAAAGUCUGAUCUGCCCACUGAUAAUAAUAUUAAAGGGCUGCAGUAUAUUGACUGUACAAAGGUAGCAUAAUCAAUAGUCUCUUAAUUAGUGACUUGUAUGAAAGAUUGGAUGAAAUAUAAAUUGUCUCUAUAAUAUUUAUUGAAUUUAAUUUUUUAAUUAAAAAGUUAAAAUUUUUUAAAAAGACGAGAAGACCCUAUAGAGUUUUAUAUUUAUUUGAUUUUUAAAAUUUUAAUGAAUUGUUUAUUUUAAAAUAGAUUAAAUAUUUUAUUGGGGUGAUAAAAAAAUAAGAAUAACUUUUUUUUAAAUUAAACAUAAAUAAAUGAAUUUUUGAUCCAAUAUUAUUGAUUAUAAGAAAAAAUUACCUUAGGGAUAACAGCGUAAUUUUUUUUUUUAGUUCGUAUAAAAAAAAAAGUUUGCGACCUCGAUGUUGGAUUAAGAUAAAAUUUAAAUGCAAAAGUUUAAAAUUUUGAUCUGUUCGAUCAUUAAAAUCUUACAUGAUCUGAGUUCAAACCGGUGUAAGCCAGGUUGGUUUCUAUCUUUUAAAAUAUUUUAUAUUUUAGUACGAAAGGACCAAAUAUUAUAAUUAAAUUAAUUAAUUGGAAUAUUAUUAAUUAUAUAAAUAAAUUUG
rnacentral:rRNA from 1 species